rnacentral:rRNA from 1 species
UUGCACGCUGGCGGCAUGCUUUACACAUGCAAGUCGCACGGCAGCGCGGGCUUCGGCCUGGCGGCGAGUGGCGAACGGGUGAGUAAUGCAUCGGAACGUGCCCAGUAGUGGGGGAUAGCCCGGCGAAAGCCGGAUUAAUACCGCAUACGACCUGAGGGUGAAAGCGGGGGACCGAAAGGCCUCGCGCUAUUGGAGCGGCCGAUGUCGGAUUAGCUAGUUGGUGGGGUAAAGGCUUACCAAGGCGACGAUCCGUAGCUGGUCUGAGAGGACGACCAGCCACACUGGGACUGAGACACGGCCCAGACUCCUACGGGAGGCAGCAGUGGGGAAUUAUGGACAAUGGGGGCAACCCUGAUCCAGCCAUGCCGCGUGCGGGAAGAAGGCCUUCGGGUUGUAAACCGCUUUUGUUCGGGAAGAAAUCCUCUGGGCUAAUACCCCGGGGGGAUGACGGUACCGGAAGAAUAAGCACCGGCUAACUACGUG